CUCUCAUGUCUAACUCGAAAGUAACGUAAAUGCAUUUGAAGUAGAAAUUCUCAAUAUGAAUGCUAAUGAAGGACACUAUGGUUUGUUUAUUUCCAUUUUGUUAGAUAAAAAAAUGCAGUUCAAUUCAAUAUUGCAUCCAAACACACCCAUACAAAUAGUUCAUUGACAUUCCAUUUGUGGUCUGCACAUCUUUUAUGCUAACAAUGCAGCUAUAACUUGUAUGUAUAGGAAGCUGGCGUCAAAGUUGAUCCGUUGGGGGAUCUAGAUAUAGAGUCGGAAAGAAAAUUGGGGCAGCUUGUUCUAGAGAAGUAGGAUACCAAGUUCUAUAUACUUAACCGCUAUCCAUUAGCUGUCAGGCCAUUUUACACCAUGCCAUGUUAUGAUGACCCAGCUUACUGUAAUUCAUUUGAUGUCUUCAUUCAAGGUGAGGAGAUCAUUUCGGGAGCACACCGUCUACACAAUCCUGAGAUUUUGUCAACUUGUACAGUGGCAUGUGGAAUUGAUUUAAAGACAAUAUCAACAU